rnacentral:rRNA from 1 species
UCAAGUUAUUAAGGGUGCAGGGCGGAUGCCUUGGCACUAGGAGCCGAUGAAGGACGUGAUAAGCUGCGAUAAGCUUCGGGGAGUUGCACGUAAACUUUGAUCCGAAGAUUUCCGAAUGAGGAAACUCACUUAGAGUAAUGUCUAAGUAUCAUUAAGUGAAUACAUAGCUUAAUGAGGGGAACUCAGGGAACUGAAACAUCUAAGUACCUGAAGGAAGAGAAAGAAAUUCGAUUCCGUAAGUAGCGGCGAGCGAACGCGGAUUAGCCCAAACCAAUAAAGUUUUCUUUAUUGGGGUUGCGGACAUAUCAUAACGAAGAGGUAUCGUAAUUGAAGAGGUUUGGAAAGACCCACCACAGAAGGUAAUAGUCCUGUAUGUUAAACGAGAAGACUUUAGAUAUGAUCCAGAGUACCACGGGACACGUGAAACCCUGUGGGAAGCAGGAGGGACCACCCUCCAAGGCUAAAUACUACCUAGUGACCGAUAGCGUAUAGUACCGUGAGGGAAAGGUGAAAAGAACCCCGGGAGGGGAGUGAAAUAGAACCUGAAACCCUGCACUUACAAGCUGUGGAAGCACAUUUCUUGUGUGACCGCGUACUUUUUGUAGAACGGGCCAACGAGUUACGUUAAGUAGCAAGGUUAAGCACUUAAGGUGCGGAGCCGUAGCGAAAGCGAGUUUUAACUGAGCGUUCAGUUACUUGACGUAGACCCGAAACCGGGCGACCUACCCAUGAGCAGGAUGAAGCGAAAGUAAAAUUUCGUGGAGGUCCGAACCCACGAGCGUUGAAAAGCUCGGGGAUGACUUGUGGGUAGCGGUGAAAUUCCAAUCGAGCCCGGAGAUAGCUGGUUCUCCCCGAAAUAGCUUUAGGGCUAGCCUCAAGGUGAGAGAUACGGAGGUAGAGCACUGAAUGUCCUAGGGGGUAUUGCACCUACCGAAGACUAUCAAACUCCGAAUGCCGUCAUCUUAUACUUGGGAGUCAGACUGUGGGUGAUAAGAUUCAUAGUCGAAAGGGCAACAGCCCAGAUCGUCAGCUAAGGUCCCUAAAUGUAAGUUAAGUGGUAAAGGAUGUGGGAUUGCACAGACAACCAGGAUGUUGGCUUAGAAGCAGCCACUCAUUCAAAGAGUGCGUAAUAGCUCACUGGUCGAGUGAUCCUGCGCCGAAGAUUUCCGGGGCUAAAACUUACUACCGAAGCUACGGCAUCAGUAAUGAUGGGUAGGGGAGCUUCCCAUACGGGUUGAAGCAUGACCGUAAGGACAUGUGGACAGUAUGGGAGUGAGAAUGUUGGCAUGAGUAGCGAGAUGUGGGUGAGAAUCCCACAGGCCGUAAACCCAAGGUUUCCAGGGGAAGGUUCGUCCGCCCUGGGUUAGUCGGGACCUAAGCUGAGGCCGAAAGGCGUAGGUGAUGGACAACAGGUUGAUAUUCCUGUACUACCGAUAACCGUUUGAGAGAAGGGAUGACACAGUAGGAUAAGCUAAGCACACUGUUGGUUAUGUGUGCCCAAGCAUUGAGGCAGUCAAAGUAGGCAAAUCCGCUUUGAUAAUGCUGAGAUGUGAUGGGGAGCGAAAUUUAGUAGCGAAGUAGCUGAUUUCACACUGUCAAGAAAAGUCUCUAUCGAGGUUAAAGGUACCCGUACCGCAAACCGACACAGGUGGCUGAGGAGAGUAUCCUAAGGCCAGCGAGAGAACUGUUGUUAAGGAACUCGGCAAAAUGACCCCGUAACUUAGGGAUAAGGGGUGCCACCAUCAGGUGGCCGCAGAGAAUAGGCCCAAGCGACUGUUUACCAAAAACAUAGGUUUCUGCUAAGUCGCAAGACGAUGUAUAGGAGCUGACGCCUGCCCGGUGCUGGAAGGUUAAGGGGAUCUGUUAGAGCAAUCGAAGCAGUGAACUUAAGCCCCAGUAAACGGCGGCCGUAACUAUAACGGUCCUAAGGUAGCGAAAUUCCUUGUCGGGUAAGUUCCGACCCGCACGAAAGGCGUAACGAUUUGGGCACUGUCUCAACAACAGACUCGGUGAAAUUGUAAUUCCGGUGAAGAUGCCGGAUACCUGCGACAGGACGGAAAGACCCCAUGGAGCUUUACUGUAGCUUGACAUUGGGUCUUGGUACUACAUGUACAGGAUAGGUGGGAGGCUUUGAAACCAGGACGCCAGUUUUGGCGGAGCCAUCCUUGGGAUACCACCCUUGUAGUACUGGGACUCUAACCAUAGGCCAUGAAUCUGGUCUUGGGACACUGUCAGGUGGGCAGUUUGACUGGGGCGGUCGCCUCCCAAAAGGUAACGGAGGCGCUCAAAGGUUCUCUCAGUACGGUCGGAAAUCGUACGUAGAGUGUAAAGGCAAAAGAGAGCUUGAUUGCAAGACAUACAGGUCGAGCAAGGAUGAAAAUCGGACUUAGUGAUCCGGUGGUUCUGCGUGGAAGGGCCAUCGCUCAACGGAUAAAAGCUACCCUGGGGAUAACAGGCUUAUCUCCCCCAAGAGUCCACAUCGACGGGGAGGUUUGGCACCUCGAUGUCGGCUCAUCACAUCCUGGGGCUGUAGUAGGUCCCAAGGGUUGGGCUGUUCGCCCAUUAAAGUGGUACGCGAGCUGGGUUCAGAACGUCGUGAGACAGUUCGGUCCCUAUCCGUCGCAGGCGUAGGAAAUUUGAGAAGACCUGUCCUUAGUACGAGAGGACCGGGAUGGACGUACCUCUGGUGUACCAGUUGUCCUGCCAAGGGCAUGGCUGGGUAGCUAUGUACGGAAUGGAUAAGCGCUGAAAGCAUCUAAGCGCGAAGCCAACUUCAAGAUAAGAUUUCCCACCGCAAGGGUAAGACCCCAGAAAGACUAUCUGGUUGAUAGGUCGAAGGUGUAAGUGCAGCAAUGUAUUUAGCUUAUCGAUACUAAUAGGUCGAGGACUUGACCAA